rnacentral:rRNA from 1 species
GAAUCUUGCGCAAUGGGCGAAAGCCUGACGCAGCAACGCCGCGUGCGGGAUGACGGCCUUCGUGGUUGUAAACCGCUUUCAGCAGGGACGAAAAUGACGGUACCUGCAGAAGAAGCCCCGGCUAACUACGUGCCAGCAGCCGCGGUAAUACGUAGGGGGCGAGCGUUGUCCGGAUUCAUUGGGCGUAAAGAGCUCGUAGGCGGUUCAGUAAGUCAGGUGUGAAAGCUCCGAGCUCAACUCGGAGAGGCCACUUGAUACUGCUGUGACUAGAAUCCAGUAGGGGAGCGUGGAAUUCCUGGUGUAGCGGUGAAAUGCGCAGAUAUCAGGAGGAACACCAGCGGCGAAGGCGGCGCUCUGGGCUGGAAUUGACGCUGAGGAGCGAAAGUGUGGGUAGCAAACAG